AUUCAUUAAAAGUGUUGAAAGCAGAUUUCUUCUGAGUCUCUUCAUUAAAGCAGCAGAGACUGAGACACAGACAGGAGAGCAGAUGCUGAAACUGUUAUCAUCAGUCUGUAACUACAGAUCUUUUCAUUAUGAAUGGACUGACAGCGUUAAUCAGAGUGAUUUACUGCUGGAUCUUUACUCACAUGUGAAGAACUAUGAGACUCAAACAGGCAGGAGUUUUCUUCCAGCAUUACAGUCAGUUUUUCAGUCACCUGAUGUCUGGAUCAUCGAUCUCUCACAGAGAAAGAUCUCUGUCCUCCUGGAAGUGCUCAAACUCCAAACAAAGAAGAAACAAGUAGAGCUGAGAGGAUGUUCAGAGCAAGAGAGUGAAAUGAAGAGUUUCCUGCAGUGUCUGCAACACAUCUCACAGCUGAGAUUCUAUAAUCAGAGUGUAAGUGUUGAAAGCAGAUUUCUUCUGAGUCUCUUCAUUAAAGCAGCAGAGACUGAGACACAGACAGGAGAGCAGAUGCUGAAACUGUUAUCAUCAGUCUGUAACUACAGAUCUUUUCCUUAUGAAACGACUGACAGCGUUAAUCAGAGUGAUUUUCUGCUGGAUCUUUACUCACAUGUGAAGAACUAUGAGACUCAAAAAGGCAGGAGUUUUCUUCCAGAAUUACAGUCAGUUUUUCAGUCACCUGAUGUCUGGAUCAUAGAUCUCUCACAGAGAAAGAUCUCUGUCCUCCUGGAAGUGCUCAAACUCCAAACAAAGAAGAAACAAGUAGAGCUGAGAGGAUGUUCAGAGCAAGAGAGUGAAAUGAAGAGUUUCCUGCAGGGUCUGCCCUACAUCUCACAGCUGAGGUAAGAGAAUUAACAUGUUGGUUAAAUUGUUAAAAAAAAAAAGUUUGUGUUUUUUUAAAACGGUCAUACGAAAAAAAAAGAAAGAAAAAAAAACUAAACCUUUCCUGAAUUUUUAAAAAGGAGAUUGAUGUAUAUACAGUAUAACUUAAAAAAGCAGAAGGAAGAUUGUCAUUGUUCAUCACUCCCUGUUGUCCUAGAACUGAGGAGGACACAACACUGACCAAAGUUAAUAUUUUGGGAGAGACACUGAGGAUAUCCCAUUUUUCUUCUCCAAAGUUACACAGACCAGAAUUCACAUGUUUAUUUCAUAACAGCAUAUAAUCUUUAUUUAUUAAUGAAAACAGAAAUACUUGACAAACAGGUCACUUUACUUCCUUCCUUCAUUACCACUCAAUAAGAGAAAAUGUUUGCAAAUAGGCGGCAGCCAAACAGGAAGAGGGUAGCACUCAGACAGUAAUUGGAAACAGGUUAACGGUGUUCAGUGCUCAAGUAUAGCACAGCAAGAAAAGCUAGAAAAUUCAGACGAGAGAAACAAACAUACAAGCAUAACAACAACAAAUCACAAAGACACUCUCCAUAUAAAUAAUAACAACAAAAACACCGUGUCUCUGACCAACAUCACCAUCUGUGCUGUGUCAUCUUGGAUUCAUACAACAUAAUAAGGCCAUGUUUUACAGUAAUUUUUUCUUGUUCUUUUUCUACUGGAAGAGUAAGAUCAUUUUAGUAGCAGCAAACGCCUUUUUGAAGUAGACUUUAAGUAGACUGUUUGGUUUUUAUUAUUUAUGGUAGAUAAAUAAUCAGAAAGUAAAGAAAGAGCAUACAAUACAAUAAAAAUCAUCACUGUGGAAUUCA
ensembl:lncRNA